rnacentral:rRNA from 1 species
CCAGCACCCGCGGUAAUUCCAGCUCCAAUAGCGUAUAUUAAAGUUGCUGCAGUUAAAAAGCUCGUAGUUGGAUCUUGGGAGCGGGCGGGCGGUCCGCCGCGAGGCGAGCCACCGCCCGUCCCCGCCCCUUGCCUCUCGGCGCCCCCUCGAUGCUCUUAGCUGAGUGUCCCGCGGGGCCCGAAGCGUUUACUUUGAAAAAAUUAGAGUGUUCAAAGCAGGCCCGAGCCGCCUGGAUACCGCAGCUAGGAAUAAUGGAAUAGGACCGCGGUUCUAUUUUGUUGGUUUUCGGAACUGAGGCCAUGAUUAAGAGGGACGGCCGGGGGCAUUCGUAUUGCGCCGCUAGAGGUGAAAUUCUUGGACCGGCGCAAGACGGACCAGAGCGAAAGCAUUUGCCAAGAAUGUUUUCAUCAAUCAAGAACGAAAGU